rnacentral:rRNA from 1 species
UAAAAUCAAAUCAAAGGAACUUGUUUUUUAAUCGACAAUACUCGAUAAAUUUUACUUUCAUUAUAAAGCUUAUAUACCGCCGUUUAAACCUAUUUUAAAUAACUCUUUAUAACCAUAUUGAAAACUUCAGGUCAAGGUGUAGCCUAUAUGAUAGAUAAAAUAAGUUACUAUAAAAGCUAUUUAUAGAAAUAAAGAAAACUUAAAUAAAACAGGAUUUAAAUUCAAUAAUUUAAUAAUAACAAAUUAUGAAAUUCAUUUGAAC